UACCGGUCGCGAUUUUGGAGGGGAAAAUAUUGUUAUUUGUGUUUUUUGAAGGUUCAAAUUGUGUCCGGGCCCGAUAAGUUACGACUCCCAACGGUUCUGGCGACUUUUAAAAGUUUUAUAGAUGUAGCCACCAGGAUUCCGCUUCAGAAAAGUUUUAGGAAAAGCUUUAGCGAGUUUUCAUAAAAGUAUCAGCAAAAGGAACUGCACCAGGGAAUAUUAUAAUGGACUGGAAGUGGCUUCCAGUAUCCCUCCUGCGCAAAUGUCAUCGAGUGCAGGCGCAUUCUUGCAGGCGUAAAACACAGAGCUGCCCGAAUGAGGAAGGAUUUUCUCGGCUUGAUAGCUGUUACCCUUGUAAGUUGGCUCAAUGUCAUCCUUAUCCAGAUCGGCAGCAGGGAUCCGGAUUGAACAUUUUAGCCCCUUGGUUGAACCUUGCCAAAUGAAGUUCAAUGACAGGAGAUUUUUUUUUUCAAAUUGCACGAUGAUGAGCUGCUUGACCUGGCAAACUAACUGUUGGAACAUUGUCCCACCCGUGGGGGGCCAAAAUAUGUGCAUUCAUUGAGGAUCAUGGUUUAGCUUCCUAGUUAUGAAGUGAAAACUGAAUAUUUCCUGACUUCGAAAAAUUUUGGCGAUGCUGAUAUUUCCAAGAUCAUAUAGUGAUGAUCAAAAUGAUACUGAAAGGCUUGGAAGCGCGAUGUUGGAGGAAGUUGAACAACUUGCAAAGUUGGACUUAAUGGAAUUCAUCUGUCAUCAACCGGCUAGCUUGACAAUUCUUAUAACACUCUUACAAGAUGAUGGGCGGCAAUAAAACUUCCAAAAAAAAAAGAUUUUAUUCGCGAC